AGUGAACGCUGGCGGUAGGCCUAACACAUGCAAGUCGAACGGCAGCACAGUAAGAGCUUGCUCUUACGGGUGGCGAGUGGCGGACGGGUGAGGAAUACAUCGGAAUCUACUUUUUCGUGGGGGAUAACGUAGGGAAACUUACGCUAAUACCGCAUACGACCUACGGGUGAAAGCAGGGGAUCUUCGGACCUUGCGCGAUUGAAUGAGCCGAUGUCGGAUUAGCUAGUUGGCGGGGUAAAGGCCCACCAAGGCGACGAUCCGUAGCUGGUCUGAGAGGAUGAUCAGCCAGACUGGAACUGAGACACGGUCCAGACUCCUACGGGAGGCAGCAGUGGGGAAUAUUGGACAAUGGGCGCAAGCCUGAUCCAGCCAUACCGCGUGGGUGAAGAAGGCCUUCGGGUUGUAAAGCCCUUUUGUUGGGAAAGAAAGGCAGCAGGUUAAUACCCCGCUGUUCUGACGGUACCCAAAGAAUAAGCACCGGCUAACUUCGUG
rnacentral:rRNA from 1 species